UACGAAGGGGGCUAGCGUUGCUCGGAAUCACUGGGCGUAAAGCGCACGUAGGCGGACUCUUAAGUCAGGGGUGAAAUCCUGGAGCUCAACUCCAGAACUGCCUUUGAUACUGGGAGUCUUGGGUUCGGGAGAGGUGAGUGGAACUGCGAGUGUAGAGGUGAAAUUCGUAGAUAUUCGCAAGAACACCAGUGGCGAAGGCGGCUCACUGGCCCGAUACUGACGCUGAGGUGCGAAAGCGUGGGGAGCAAACAGG
rnacentral:rRNA from 1 species